UUUAACGGCCGCGGUAUUUUGACCGUGCAAAGGUAGCGUAAUCACUUGUCUUUUAAAUGGAGACCUGUAUGAAUGGCAUAACGAGGGCUUAACUGUCUCCUCUUUCUAGUCAAUGAAAUUGAUUUCCCCGUGCAGAAGCGGGGAUAACCCCAUAAGACGAGAAGACCCUAUGGAGCUUUAGACACGGAACAGACUAUGUCAACCACCCCUCACACAAGGCGGAAACAAAAUGCGUCCCUGUUCCAAUGUCUUCGGUUGGGGCGACCACGGGGCAAUAAAAAGCCCCCGCGCGGAAUGGGGACACACCCUCCUACAACCUAGAGCCCCCGCUCUAACUAACAGAAUUUCUGACCACGAAGAUCCGCCAAAGCCGAUCAACGGACCAAGUUACCCUAGGGAUAACAGCGCAAUCCUCUUCUAGAGACCCUAUCGACAAGGGGGUUUACGACCUCGAUGUUGGAUCAGGACAUCCUAAUGGUG
rnacentral:rRNA from 1 species